rnacentral:misc_RNA from 1 species
UACGUAGGGGGCUAGCGUUGUCCGGAAUCAUUGGGCGUAAAGCGCGCGUAGGCGGCCCGGUAAGUCCGUUGUAAAAGUCAAAGGCUCAACCUUUGAAAGCCGAUGGAUACUGUCGGGCUAGAGUCCGGAAGAGGCGAGUGGAAUUCCUGGUGUAGCGGUGGAAUGCGCAGAUAUCAGGAGGAACAUCAAUAGCGAAGGCAGCUCGCUGGGACGGUACUGACGCUAAGGCGCGAAAGCGUGGGGAGCGAACAGG